AAAGAAACCAACAGGGAUUGCCCCAGUAACGGCGAGUGAAGCGGCAACAGCUCAAAUUUGAAAUCUGGCCCCUCGGGGCCCGAGUUGUAAUUUGUAGAGGAUGCUUCUGGCGAGGCGCCGCCUGAGUUCCCUGGAACGGGACGCCAUAGAGGGUGAGAGCCCCGUCUGGCUGGCCGCCGAGCCUCUGUGAAGCUCCUUCGACGAGUCGAGUAGUUUGGGAAUGCUGCUCAAAACGGGAGGUAUAUGUCUUCUAAAGCUAAAUAUUGGCCAGAGACCGAUAGCGCACAAGUAGAGUGAUCGAAAGAUGAAAAGCACUUUGAAAAGAGGGUUAAACAGUACGUGAAAUUGUUGAAAGGGAAGCGCUUGCGACCAGACUCGGGCGCGGCGGAUCAUCCGGCGUUCUCGCCGGUGCACUCCGCCGCGCUCGGGCCAGCAUCGGUUCGCCCCGGGGGAGAAAGGCGUCGGGAAUGUGGCUCCUCCGGGAGUGUUAUAGCCCGGCGCGGAAUACCCUGGGGCGGACCGAGGACCGCGCGUUUACGCAAGGAUGCUGGCGUAAUGGUCGCCAGCGACCCGUCU
rnacentral:rRNA from 1 species